rnacentral:rRNA from 1 species
UACGAAGGGGGCUAGCGUUGCUCGGAAUCACUGGGCGUAAAGGGUGCGUAGGCGGGUCUUAAGUCAGGGGUGAAAUCCUGGAGCUCAACUCCAGAACUGCCUUUGAUACUGAAGAUCUUGAGUUCGGGAGAGGUGAGUGGAACUGCGAGUGUAGAGGUGAAAUCGUAGAUAUUCGCAAGAACACCAGUGGCGAAGGCGGCUCACUGGCCCGAUACUGACGCUGAGGCACGAAAGCGUGGGGAGCAAACAGGG